rnacentral:misc_RNA from 1 species
GGAAAAUCGGAGCCGGAGACGGAGAAUAGAAGGAAGAGAGAGCAAUGAAAUCGCCGAGAUGGGGAUAUGUUAGAAUUAUAUCAGGAACUAUUUUUGGAGGCAUUUUUGGAUUCUAUCUUAUGCAUCGCGCUGAACUUCAGUACAAGGAAAUGUGGAACGAGAGAUUGAAGAAGUAUGAGGAGGAGCUCAAAAUGAAGCAAAGUAUGGAGACGCAUACCCCCACUGAGUUGUCAGGAGAUCAUCUUGCGAGAUAGUCCAGGAAUUCAGGCUGACGUUCUCUGUGAAGCUUAUGUCUUGUUGAUAAUAAUUUAUGUUUAUGCUCUGAAGUACAAUGGGUUUAGUAGAUAUCUGACUGGGGGGUCAUAGAACACGAGGGUCUUAUUUAGGACUUGUUCAUGCUAAAAUGUAAUAUAUUGUUAAGUUAGACAAUUGUGAAUUAUGAAUUAUGAAUUUUGAGUCAUGGAUGC